GCAACAGGGGAUAGCCUUUUCUGCACUGGCAGCUGGAAAUCAGUUCUCGGUUGGUUGCUGUCUCUCCUGAGUGCCUCGUAAUAUAAAAAGAUUAACUGGAAGAGGACAAAACCAAUUUAGAAGACAUACAAGACCAUCUUCUGGAGGGAAAGCUUGGUCCUCCUUGACCGGGUCUGGAACACGGAAGAAGGAAGGCUCAGCUAACUGUGUGUGGGGCAUGGUUUGGAGCUCACCUGAAAGAUAAUGAAGGCUGAAUAAAGUGAAUCCACGGGAAAACGAAUGUGUGCAACUUUUGAGAAAGGAGAGAAGAAAAGCAGAGAUGACUGCAGGCGGCCAC